rnacentral:rRNA from 1 species
GGAUUGCCCCAGUAACGGCGAGUGAAGUGGCAACAGCUCAAAUUUGAAAUCUGGCCCCUUUGGGGUCCGAGUUGUAAUUUGCAGAGGAUGCUUCGGCGUUGGCCCUGGGCCAAGUCCCCUGGAACGGGGUGCCCUAGAGGGUGAGAGCCCCGUACACACCCGGGUGUCCUUCGCCGUGCGAAGCUCCUUCGACGAGUCGAGUUGUUUGGGAAUGCAGCUCUAAGUGGGAGGUAAAUUUCUUCUAAAGCUAAAUAUCGGCCAGAGACCGAUAGCGCACAAGUAGAGUGAUCGAAAGAUGAAAAGCACUUUGGAAAGAGAGUUAAAAAGCACGUGAAAUUGUUGAAAGGGAAGCUCUUGCCGCCAGACUUGCCGUGGAUGCUCAGCCGCCCCCUGGGGCGGUGUAAUCUUCCCCCGGCAGGCCAGCGUCGGUUUAGGCGACCGGAUAAAGGCCCCGGGGAUGUGGCACCCCUAGGGGUGUGUUAUAACCCGGGGCCGAAUGCGGUCAGCCUGGUCCGAGGAAUGCGUUCGCGAGGACGCUGGCGUAAUGGCCGUAAGCGACCCGUCUUGAAACACGGACCAAGGAGUCUAACAUCUGUGCGAGUGCUUNGGUGUUAAACCCAUGCGCGCAAUGAAAGUGAACGGAGGUGGGAACCCCCUUGAGGGGUGCACCAUCGACCGAUCCUGAUGUGCUCGGAUGGAUUUGAGUAAGAGCAUAGCUGUUGGGACCCGAAAGGUAAGCGAUCCCCGUUGUCUCUAUGCACGCUCGUGGAUCGAUGCUAACGGUUAUUUGCAGAUGGUGAACUAUUCCCGGAUAGGGUGAAGCCAGAGGAAACUCUGGUGGAGGCUCGCAGCGGUUCUGACGUGCAAAUCGAUCGUCAAAUCUAGGAAUAGGGGCGAAAGACUAAUCGAACC